GCUUGCACCGAGCGGAUGAGUUGCGAACGGGUGAGUAACGCGUAGGUAACCUGCCUCUUAGCGGGGGAUAACUAUUGGAAACGAUAGCUAAUACCGCAUAAAAGUCGAUAUCGCAUGAUAUUGACUUGAAAGGUGCAAUUGCAUCACUAAGAGAUGGACCUGCGUUGUAUUAGCUAGUUGGUGAGGUAACGGCUCACCAAGGCGACGAUACAUAGCCGACCUGAGAGGGUGAUCGGCCACACUGGGACUGAGACACGGCCCAGACUCCUACGGGAGGCAGCAGUAGGGAAUCUUCGGCAAUGGGGGCAACCCUGACCGAGCAACGCCGCGUGAGUGAAGAAGGUUUUCGGAUCGUAAAGCUCUGUUGUAAGAGAAGAACGAGUGUGAGAGUGGAAAGUUCACACUGUGACGGUAACUUACCAGAAAGGGACGGCUAACUACGUGCCAGCAGCCGCGGUAAUACGUAGGUCCCGAGCGUUAUCCGGAUUUAUUGGGCGUAAAGCGAGCGCAGGCGGUUAGAUAAGUCUGAAGUUAAAGGCUGUGGCUUAACCAUAGUACGCUUUGGAAACUGUUUAACUUGAGUGCAGAAGGGGAGAGUGGAAUUCCAUGUGUAGCGGUGAAAUGCGUAGAUAUAUGGAGGAACACCGGUGGCGAAAGCGGCUCUCUGGUCUGUAACUGACGC
rnacentral:rRNA from 1 species